AAAAUUCCAAAAUCUCUUCUUUUUUUUUUUAGGGUUUUAAAACCCCCCAUUUUCGCCUCUUCCAUGGCCAACCAUGGAUUCCCCGGCGAUCCUCCAUGCCCAUGCCACGAAUCGGUGACCGGUACUACACGAGGUGGGCUCCCUUUGGUCCUCCUCCGAACGGAGGUCGAAGACGGAGCCUUCGCGGCCCACCACGACGGAAGAGACGAGGAAAGGCCCCGGGAGGUUCGUCGGAGCACCUCAAGCAGUGAAUCGGAGGUACCUUUUUUAUUAUUCGUAUUUUUUAUUACUGUUUUGUGUGUAAAAAAAUAAAAAAGAAAUAAAGAAGAAAGCAAAUCUCAGUGGAAAAGAAUGAAAAUCGAAACUCAACAAUAAUCACCUUUUGAAAUCGUUUAUUCUUUUGAUUAAUUUUGUUUGGUAAAUGUCUGUAACCGUUUACAAAGCAUAGAUUUCGGCUUUUAAAGCCAAUCUAUCAACCGUUCACUUCCUUUUUUUUGUUCUUUUGUUCAUUAUUUUCUUUUGCAUGCUCUCUGUUGUUGCAUCUGAUUUGAUUGCAGGUGUCAGAGGCCGACGGUUGGCUGGUGAGAAGGCGAGGCAGCGCGUGUGGAGGAGGCCGAACGGCGCCUAGGGUUUCCCUCUUCUCCUUUGGCUGAAAAAUGUUUAGGAUAGUUGGGCUAGUUGGGCUUCAGGGUUUUCUUUUAAUUGGGUAUUGGGUAAUUUGUUAUUUGGGCUAGGUGUAAUGGACUCUUGGACUUUUAUUUGUUUAUUGUAUUUUGGGUCUUAUUUUGGUUUGUUGGCAUGGGCCAAAAUUGGCUAUAACAACUUUUAUGUUCUGUUGCAACAAAUUUAAGUGC
rnacentral:lncRNA from 1 species